AGGGUUUGAUUAUGGCUCAGGAUGAACGCUAGCGGCACGCUUCAUACAUGCAAGUCGAGGGGCAGCAUAAAGUACUUGUACUUUGAUGGCGACCGGCGAACGGGUGCGUAACGCGUAUGCAACUUACCUUUUACUAGAGAAUAGCCAAGAGAAAUUUUGAUUAAUGCUCUAUACUCUUUUUAACUCACAUGAGUUUUUAAGAAAAGCUCCGGCGGUAAAAGAUGGGCAUGCGUCCUAUUAGCUUGUAGGUGAGGUAACGGCUCACCUAAGCUCCGAUAGGUAGGGGUCCUGAGAGGGAGAUCCCCCACACUGGUACUGAGACACGGACCAGACUUCUACGGAAGGCAGCAGUAAGGAAUAUUGGACAAUGGAGGAAACUCUGAUCCAGCGAUGCCGCGUGAAGGAAGACGGCCCUAUGGGUUGUAAACUUCUUUUAUACAGGAAGAAACCUUUCCACGUGUGGAAAGCUGACGGUACUGUAAGAAUAAGGAUCGGCUAACUCCGUGCCAGCCGCCGCGA
rnacentral:rRNA from 1 species